rnacentral:rRNA from 1 species
GCUAGUAAUCGCGGAUCAGCAUGCCGCGGUGAAUACGUUCCCGGGCCUUGUACACACCGCCCGUCACACCAUGGGAGUCGGUAACACCCGAAGCCUGUAGUCUAACCGCAAGGAGGACGCAGUCGAAGGUGGGAUUGAUGACUGGGGUGAAGUCGUAACAAGGUAAC